CCUACGGGGGGCAGCAGUGAGGAAUAUUGGUCAAUGGCCGGAAGGCUGAACCAGCCAUGCAGCGUGAAGGUCAGUGCCCUAUGGGCGUUAAACUUCUUUUGUGCGGGAGCAAUAAUGGUCAAGUGUGGCCAGACGAGAGUACCGUACGAAUAAGCAUCGGCUAACUCCGUGCCAGCAGCCGCGGUAAUACGGGGGAUGCAAGCGUUAUCCGGAUUUUUUGGGUUUAAAGGGUGCGUAGGCUGGGAGGUAAGGCAGCGGUGAAAUGCCUGCGGUCAACGGGGUGAAGUGCCAUUGAUACUGCCUUGCUGGAAUGCGGAUGCCGUGGGAGGAAUGGGUGGUGUAGCGGUGAAAUGCAUAGAUAUCACACAGAACACCGAUUGCGAAGGCAUCUCACGAAGCCGCGAUUGACGCUGAUGCACGAAAGCGUGGGUAUCAAACAGGAUUAGAUACCCCUGUAGUC
rnacentral:rRNA from 1 species